AAGUGUUGAUUUUUGCAAUCUCAUUUUUUGCAUACUUAUUUAAAUAUCAAAACAAUGGAAUUAAAUCUUCAACAUGAAGAUUUAUUGAUUAAAUUAAGAGCUAAGCUGAACGAAGAAAAGAUUAAGUUAUGGGAACCACCUUAUUAUCAGACUGACAACGAUCGCUCUCAAAAUUUGCGGGAUCUAGCAUUAAAAUACUCAUCACAGUUAUUACAAGAUGAUGAAACGGUGUUUUCUGCAUUACGUGAAUUACAACUGCAUUCACUUGACCGAUCCAAAGCAAAUGCGGAGUACAAGGAGACAGGGCUGGCCACAUUCAGGGUGAAAGCUAAUGUAUCAGGACAAAAACCUGUAGUCUUAAAAAUUCAAAAGAAGUUGGAAGUGCCAGGCAGUGAUCUCAUUGAAACAGUGGCUAAGGAGAUUAGUGUUGGAACUGACAGAAUAAAAUUGAUAUGCAAUGGUAAAAUUAUAAAACCGACAAUGAAUCUCAAUGAACAGAAUAUUAAAAAUGGAGUACAAAUAAUGGCACUUAUUAUGGGAGAAGCCCCAGAGAACGUUAAGAAAGAAAAUGAUAUGUACAUGGAGAUGAAAUCCACACGUGACGACGCUCUGCUGCUGACCGAUUGCGCCGAAGAGUUGACUGGCGACGAUGAGUAUUUAAAGCUGGAAGACCAAUCAGGAAAAGCACUCCAACUACCGGCAGCCGAGCGAAGAUCCUUGACGGUUGGACUGGCACUGCACGAGCGCGGUCGGGCCGCUGUCCAGCAAAAGGACUACACGCUAGCCCUGGUGCUCCUGCUCGAAGCCGACAGGCAGUUCAGUGAAUGCAGUUCGAAUCUCCUGAAAUCAGUGGACAACAUUGCCGUCCUUCAGCUGGACAUAUCCUGGUGCUACCUUCAUCUCCAGAACCUCGCCUCGGCUACUGAUGUAGCCUCCAGACUACAGAGGGCCGAGGCGUCCUUCAAGGACACCUACGGCGAGAACCACGAGAGGCUCAUCGCUCUGAAAGGAAACGCCGCAAACGAACGCGUUCUGUUCAUGCGGCUGUACCUGCUGCAGGGCAUCGUAGCUUACCACCAGAACAAGAGGGAGGAGGCGCGGCGACUCUUCGACAAGGCUGAAAAUGAGAUGAAUUUUCUGAGAGUGGACGACGGCUCGGUAGCGGCGCUGAUGGAGCUCGGCUGGACGCGCAGCCAAGCCAGGACCGGCCUCCGCGCCGCCGCAGGACACGUGGACAGGGCGCACCAGCUCCUGGAGGAGAGGAGCGAGGAGCGCGAGAGGGAGAGGGAGAGACACAGACAGGAGAGAGAGGAGCGGGCCCUGGGUCGGUGCGCGGACGGCAGCCCGGUGAGCGCGGCGCUGCUGGCGGGGCUGCUGGACAUGGGCUGCGCGCGCCGCCUCGCCCUGCUGGCCCUCAAGAACUCCAACAACAACGUGGCCGAAGCCCUGUACCUCAUGCAGGAGAGGAGGGAACUGCUUCAAGACAGUGACGCGUCUUCCAGCGACCAGGAGACCCCGAGCUCCGACGACUCCACGCUGGAGCCCGACAACAAGCUCGCGGCGGAGCUGGAGGCGAUGGGCUACGACCUGGACGACGCCAGGAUCGCCCUGAAGCUGUCGCGGAACCAGCUCGGCGGGGCGCUGGACAUCCUGCUCGGGGGGCAGCUGCGCGGUAGAGAGUACUAAGCGCCACCAGUAUGCACGCAGUUCCUUUCCACCGCAGAUGUCGGCGACCCGUCCACCAGCUCGGCGGCCGCCAGCAAGAAGAGACUCCGGAAACUGAAGCGAGAGAAGAGGGAGAAGCGCCGACAAGAGCGCGACUCGGCUCUGAAGCGUCUCAAGACGU
rnacentral:misc_RNA from 1 species